GGGGGUAUAGCUCAGCUGGGAGAGCGCCUGCUUUGCACGCAGGAGGCCAGCGGUUCGAGCCCGCUUAUCUCCACCA
rnacentral:tRNA from 1 species